GACGAACGCUGGCGGCGUGCCUAAUACAUGCAAGUAGAACGCACAGUUUAUACCGUAGCUUGCUACACCAUAGACUGUGAGUUGCGAACGGGUGAGUAACGCGUAGGUAACCUGCCUGGUAGCGGGGGAUAACUAUUGGAAACGAUAGCUAAUACCGCAUAAUAUUAAUUAUUGCAUGAUAAUUAAUCGAAAGGUGCAAUUGCACCACUACCAGAUGGACCUGCGUUGUAUUAGCUAGUAGGUGAGGUAACGGCUCACCUAGGCGACGAUACAUAGCCGACCUGAGAGGGUGAUCGGCCACACUGGGACUGAGACACGGCCCAGACUCCUACGGGAGGCAGCAGUAGGGAAUCUUCGGCAAUGGACGAAAGUCUGACCGAGCAACGCCGCGUGAGUGAAGAAGGUUUUCGGAUCGUAAAGCUCUGUUGUAAGAGAAGAACGGGUGUGAGAGUGGAAAGUUCACACUGUGACGGUAUCUUACCAGAAAGGGACGGCUAACUACGUG
rnacentral:rRNA from 1 species